GUAUCCAUGGUGUGGGUAUUGCAAUAAAAGUGACUUGAAGUAAUCCCAUGCUUCAUAAAAGUAUUCAGUAUCCUUUUGAUAAAAUUUAAAAAUUUCAGCACUUAACUC
rfam:Ricinus communis cultivar Hale ctg_1100012360161, whole genome shotgun sequence.